rnacentral:rRNA from 1 species
UACAGGGGGUGCAAGCGUUGCUCGGAAUUACUGGGCGUAAAGGGCGCGUAGGCGGUUUAGUAAGUCAGAUGUGAAAGCCCGGGGCUCAACUCCGGAAUUGCAUUUGAAACUGCUAGGCUAGAGUGCAGUAGAGGAUGGCGGAAUACCUAGUGGAGAGGUGAAAUUCGUAGAUAUUAGGUGGAACACCGGUGGCGAAGGCGGCCAUCUGGGCUGUAACUGACGCUGAGGCGCGAGAGCGUGGGGAGCAAACAGG